AUUAUAAUAAAUGAAUUCAGCAAGGUAGAAGGAUACAAGACUAACAUACAGAAGUCAGUUGCAUUUCUUUACACUAACAAUGAAAUAGAAA